rnacentral:rRNA from 1 species
UACGUAGGGGGCAAGCGCUGUCCGGAAUCAUUGGGCGUAAAGAGCGUGUAGGCGGCCCGGUAAGUCCGCUGUGAAAGUCCAGGGCUCAACCCUGGGAUGCCGGUGGAUACUGUCGGGCUCGAGUCCGGAAGAGGAGUGUGGAAUUCCUGGUGUAGCGGUGAAAUGCGCAGAUAUCAGGGGGAACACCAAUGGCGAAGGCAGCACUCUGGGACGUGACUGACGCUGAGACGCGAAAGCGUGGGGAGCAAACAGG